rnacentral:lncRNA from 1 species
AAUCAAUUAAACCCAUUGUAGAAAAUUAUGGGGAAAGUUAAAAAUGUGUACUUUUGGCUUGAGGCCAAGGGGGGUUGCUGCUCCGUUUUGCUACCUUGCUUACACACUGUUCUUCUCCAAGUUUAGACACCCAAUUCUUCAUAUAGACAUUUCAACAUGCAUGUAAACCCAUCUGACAACUGUCAAUUUGCAUAUAUGUUCAUCUCCCAUUUUUAGAUUCCUCUAACUCUAUCAUUACUUCACAAAUGCCUGC